rnacentral:rRNA from 1 species
AACGUAGGUUCCGAGCGUUAUCCGGAUUUACUGGGCGUAAAGCGCGUUCAGGCGGUUUGGCAAGUCGGGCAUGAAAUCUCUCGGCUCAACCGGGAGAGGAUGUCCGAUACUUCCAGACUUGAGGGCAGUAGAGGGUGGUGGAAUUCCGGGUGUAGUGGUGAAAUGCGCAGAUAUCAGGAAGAACACCCGUGGCUAAGGCGGCUCUCUAGUACGGUACUGACGCUGAGACGCGAAAGCGUGGGGAGCGAACAGG